GUAGAAGUAUUGAUACAAAUAGCAGAAUUCACAUCCGAUAACAAACAGGUAGAUGUAGCUCGAUUAAAAUGGGGGCUAAGAGUCGAUGUCGAUGUAGAGCUACAGACACAAUUAACGGGAUUCUCGGGGAAUAAUGCACUAGUAGAUGUAGCUCGAUUAAAUGUAGGACUAAGGGUCGAUGUUGAUGUUGAGUUAUUGAUAGCAUUGGAGGAAUUCCCAGGGGAUACUGCACAUGAAGUGUCUUGAACAGUUUUGGGGUUAAGUGCAGCUGGUAAAUUAAAAUUACAAAUACAUUUAGGAUGAAACCCUGGGAAUUCAAAGGGAAAUGAAGCUUUAUCAGCUUUGGGGUUAAGGGUAGGUAUGGGGGAAGCAUCAUCAAAAGGAGGGGGAUUCCCAGGGAAUGAUGCACUCAUAGAUGUAGAUCUGGUUAUAGGCGAUAAGGGGCUAAGCAGAGAUGCCAAGUUACUGAUACAAUUAGUGGUAGUCCCAGGGAAUAAUGCACAGAUAGAUGUAGCUUUGUUUGUAUUCAAUUUGGGAACGAGGUUAGAGGUAGAAGUAGCAGCACAGGUGCAAUUAAGGGGAAACCCAGGGAAAAGGACACAGGGAUCUUUGGGGGUGGAUGUAGAGGGGGAAGACAUGGGGAAGAACGUAGGUGUUGAAGUAGAGGCACAGACACAAUUACAGCGAUCCCUAGUGAAAAAUGCACCAUUAGAGGCAGGUGAAGAUUGGGGCAAAAGUGUGGACGUUGAAGUAGAGGUACAGACACAGUUACAGAGAUUCUCUUUGGCGUGGGCAGAGUUGGGCGCAACUGAUGGGUUGAGUGUAGAUGUUGUAGUAGAGGAACAGACACAAUUACAGGGAUUUCCAUUGACAACUACACAGUUAGAUGGGGGAUCGGCAGGUUCUGGCAGAAGUGUAGAUGUCGAGGUAGAAAUACAGACACAAUUACAGGGAAACACAGGGAGAGAAGCACAGGUAGUUUUUGGUGGGGUCACAGUUGUCACUGUAGAGGCUUUAGAGACAGGAAUAGAUUUCGGACUAAGAGAAGAAAUGAUACAGUUAGAGGGAGCCCUAUGCAAAGGUGCACAAACAAAUGGAGUUGGCCCCAUAGGUGUAGAUUCAGAGAUGGGACAGAAAGUGGGACAUUCUGACAUAGAUUGCGAUAUCCAUUUGCUGUGA
rnacentral:lncRNA from 1 species